rnacentral:rRNA from 1 species
AACCUCCGCAAUGUGAGAAAUCGCGACGGGGGGAUCCCAAGUGCCAUUCUUAACGGGAUGGCUUUUCAUUAGUGUAAAGAGCUUUUGGAAUAAGGGCUGGGCAAGACCGGUGCCAGCCGCCGCGGUAACACCGGCAGCUCUAGUGGUAGCAGUUUUUAUUGGGCCUAAAGCGUCCGUAGCCGGUUUAAUAAGUCUCUGGUGAAAUCCUGUAGCUUAACUGUGGGAAUUGCUGGAGAUACUAUUAGACUUGAGACCGGGGGAGGUUAGAGGUACUCCCAGGGUAGAGGUGAAAUUCUGUAAUCCUGGGAGGACCGCCUGUUGCGAAGGCGUCUAACUGGAACGGUUCUGACGGUGAGGGACGAAAGUUAGGGGCGCGAACCGGAUUAGAUACCCGGGUAGUCCUAACUGUAAACGAUGCGGGCUUGGUGUUGGGGUGGCUUUGAGCUGCUCCAGUGCCGAAGGGAAGCUGUUAAGUCCGCCGCCUGGGAAGUACGGUCGCAAGACUGAAACUUAAAGGAAUU